CUCGUAGGCGGUUUCGUAAGUCGGAUGUGAAAGCCCUAGGCUUAACCAAGGAAGUGCAUUCGAAACUGUGAGACUUGAGUACGGGAGAGGGUUGUGGAAUUCCCGGUGUAGAGGUGAAAUUCGUAGAUAUCGGGAGGAACACCAGUGGCGAAGGCGACAACCUGGACCGAUACUGACGCUGAGGAGCGAAAGCGUGGGGAGCAAACAGGAUUAGAUACCCUGGUAGUCC
rnacentral:rRNA from 1 species